rnacentral:rRNA from 1 species
CGUUAGCGGCGGACGGGUGAGUAACACGUGGGUAACCUACCUAUAAGACUGGGAUAACUUCGGGAAACCGGAGCUAAUACCGGAUAAUAUUUCGAACCGCAUGGUUCGAUAGUGAAAGANGGUUUUGCUAUCACUUAUAGAUGGACCUGCGCCGUAUUAGCUAGUUGGUAAGGUAACGGCUUACCAAGGCGACGAUACGUAGCCGACCUGAGAGGGUGAUCGGCCACACUGGAACUGAGACACGGUCCAGACUCCUACGGGAGGCAGCAGGC